GAUGAGCGCUGGCGGCGUGCCUAAUACAUGCAAGUCGAGCGAAUGGAUUAAGAGCUUGCUCUUAUGAAGUUAGCGGCGGACGGGUGAGUAACACGUGGGUAACCUGCCCAUAAGACUGGGAUAACUCCGGGAAACCGGGGCUAAUACCGGAUAACAUUUUGAACCGCAUGGUUCGAAAUUGAAAGGCGGCUUCGGCUGUCACUUAUGGAUGGACCCGCGUCGCAUUAGCUAGUUGGUGAGGUAACGGCUUACCAAGGCAACGAUGCGUAGCCGACCUGGGAGGGUGAUCGGCCACACUGGGACUGAGACACGGCCCAGACUCCUACGGGAGGCAGCAGUAGGGAAUCUUCCGCAAUGGACGAAAGUCUGACGGAGCAACGCCGCGUGAGUGAUGAAGGCUUUCGGGUCGUAAAACUCUGUUGUUAGGGAAGAACAAGUGCUAGUUGAAUAAGCUGGCACCUUGACGGUACCUAACCAGAAAGCCACGGCUAACUACGUGCCAGCAGCCGCAGUAA
rnacentral:rRNA from 1 species